rnacentral:rRNA from 1 species
UGGGGAAUCUUGCACAAUGGGGGAAACCCUGAUGCAGCAAUGCCGCGUGAGUGAAGAAGCCCUUUGGGUUGUAAANCUCUUUCGUCGGGGAAGAAAAUGACUGUACCCGAAUAAGAAAGUCCGGCUAACUUC